rnacentral:tRNA from 1 species
GCGGGGGUGGCAGAGCCAGGUCAAUAGAAAAAUCCGGCCAAAUGCGCGGGACUCAAGAUCCCGUCCCGUAGGGGUUCGUGGGUUCGAAUCCCACCCCCCGCACCA